GGACGUGUAAGCAGCCAAAGUCACACAGGAAGGAACUUGAACCCAGACUUGAAUCUCUAAAGAAGGGACACUUUCAUUGCUGCGAAGCCCUGUCUGGUUCAAGGGGGCCCGGUGGCUCUUGCGGGGUGUGCCCUGUGACAGAGACCCCCUCCCCCACCACCAGGCUGCCUCCAGCCCCUCAAGACCUGUUGUUUCACCCAUGCCACAUGUCUUAAAAUUUGAAGUCAGCAUUUAAAAAUCCAGCGAUUUCACAUCAAAAUAUGGGUCUCCUUUUUUUUAAAAGAAAAACCGCGAAUGUCUGUACUGGGUCUUUCUUUUCUAUAUGGUGACCACGUAGAGGAUUUGAGCUGGGGCCACCCCCUUGGGUAGGGGUCCCUCCUCACCCAGCCCAUUCUGCUCCUUUGUGCAAGGGUGGGGGCCUUGGAGUUGUGCGCUUUGGUGCCCUCAUGAUCUGAGUGACAGAGUGAGCUGUCUGAGCCUCAGUCUUGCCCUCCAUAAAGUAGGUCUAAUGUUACAUCUCCUUUCCUGGGCCACACCUUACAUCUUCACCUCCUUGGGCGAAGGAUGCAAAUGAAUCAGAAGGUGUGGUCUGAGGAAAGUGAUGACCAUCGCACUGCCAAUCAUUUGGGCUUCGGUUUCAUUUGGCUUUAGAGACAUUCUCUGGAAGGUCUUGGUCUCUUCAUGGUCAACCACUGGCUAGGAAAGGGGGGUGCCCUGCACCCAAGUCUCGCAUCAUCUGCCAGGAUGGAGCAUGCUGGCAUGGCUCGCGUGAUGCAGCCCAUGGCUUUGAAACUCCACCCACAGAGCUAUCAACACUGACAGGGGAGCAACGGGUGCUCCCUGCUCCCCCCUCCCCCGCCCCCGCGCCCCCCAAGGCCGCCAUACGGAAGUUGCUUCCUUAUUUCAGAAGUGCAACUUGGACAGCAAAUUAUGUGUUAAAAUAUUUGCCUACAGCUCUGCUGCCAAGGGGCCCCUUUAAGGCUAAGUGUUAAAUGUUACCCUGCUGCCUGCACUGCAAAGAUUUUAAACCUGAAGAUAAAGAGUGGCUGCCUUGUGGAAUUUGGGGCCAGCAGUGGAUGCACAAGCAGAGCGUCUAAUUGGGGUUGGCAGGCUCCUUGCCCAGCUCCCUUCCUCCAUCCCACCAGCCCCGGGUGUGUGUAUGAGGGUGUUUGCAGAGACGUGUCCCUCCUUGCCAAGCGGGGCCCGAACGCCCAGCUGAGGUUCAGCCAGGGGUUUGACCUGGUGCCCAGGUUCUGAAAGGGCUUCCUCCCACACUGGCCCCUGGGAACGUGCUGCUGGUGAAGCCGUUUCACGUAGGAAGCAUACGGGCUGCUAGGACAGCGUGUGCAUUCUCUAUGAAAGCAAAAUGUUGCUCCAGGAUAAACACUCUGGAAGCGGUAGACGCCUGCCUGGACGGUGAAUUCUGCCGGGAGAACCCCAAUUGUGGACGGUGCGGGGACCAGGGGAGAGCGAGGGACGGGUGGGCUUGUGAAUUGUAAACAGACCUCCCCCUGCAGGAGUCCCGCCGGUUCCUGGAGGAGGUGGGCUUGUCACUUCCUCAAGGUCACACAGCGUGGAAAGGGGAGCCCAGCCACGAAGCCAGGACGUCCCCCUCCUGGUCCAGCGGAUUUUUUUUUUUUUUUUUGUCUGGAUGGACAUUUUUGUGGCUUUCAGGGGAGCAUGUGCCCUGACAGUCUCCAUCCUCAGAAGCCUAGGAGGCUUCCUGCCAGAAGCUCUUAUGCGAUAGGAAGUCUCCAGCUCUGGUCCUAGUCAUGAUGCUUCAUGCGUUGGUUUGAAUGAUAACAGCAGCAAAGGCAGUAACUGUAGCUACUGUUUUCUUGGGUUUCAGCUUGAGUGUGGCCAGGUAUCGGGCUUUGCAUAUACUUGCUACCUUGUUAAAAUAAUUGAACACCCUGAAAAUUUUUCUCAGGCAGAGUAAGCGACUUAUCCAAGGUCCCCCAGCUGUUAAGUGGUGGCAGGUGCAUUUGAACCCAGACAGCCUGACUCUAGAGUCCGUGAUUCUUUUCUCCUUCUUUUUUUUUUUUUGCUUUUUAGGGCCACACCCGCGGCAUAUGGAAGUUCCCAGGCUAGUGGUCUAAUCCGAGCUACAGCUGCCAGCCCAGGCCCACAGCCACAGCAAUGUGCGAUCCAAGCUCCAUCUGUGACCUACACCACAGCUCACGGCAAUGCCAGAUUGUUAACCCACUGAGUGAGGCCAGGGAUUGAACUCGAGUCCUCAUGGAUACUAGCUGGGCUUGUAACUUGCUGAGUCACAACGGGAACUCCUUGUGAUUCUUUUCCCUUCUCUCUCCAUCAUCUGGACACAGGCCCCGGAAUGCAACUCCAGCUGUCUGCUGUUUAUGCGUGUGGUGGCUUCAUAAGCAUCUUUGUGCAGAAACAGCUUGGUUCCACCUCCAUUGGACUCCUCUGUACUGGUGCUCCUGGUGCCCCCUGUACAGUUGGACUCUCUGGGCAGGCCCUGGACGAGCCUAGAAUUCACUGUCCGGCCGUUUCUGAUUCUGCGGAGGGAGGUGGAGACCUGGAGACCUGUCCAGGUCUGAUUGAGGGAAGAGAUGGGGAGAUGGUCCCAGGGCUUGCUGGUCCCCAGGGCUGACUCUCACCUGGCACCAUUCCUGGCCUUCACGCCUCUCUGGCCCCCCCCUGCAUCCUGGCCUUGCACUUUCGCCCACACCCUCCUCUGCCCACCUGCUCUUGCUCCAGACUCCCCCGGGGCUCCUUGAAGCCCCGCAGGGCUCCUGGGUCCCCCGUAUCUGUGUGCACCUUGUGAGCCAGGAGAGCACCGUCUGUGUCCAUCACGAUCGAGCUUGUUGCCGUGUGAGGAAUCAGCCUCAGGCGGGACAAGUGACGUGGUCAGGGUCAACUUGUGGGGUGAGGUGGGGGGUCCCAGCGCUAAGCCUGGAGCUGGGACCCUGACGGAUGCUGGUCCAGGCUUCCGGCACGUACCGUGUCUACCUCCCUUGGGUGUUCAUUUCUUCGCGAGACACACAUUCACUUAGCCCAUGGUGAUGAAGCCUCUUGUUUGUGCCAGGCCUUGUGUGGCUUCGAGGACACCAAGAUGGAAGACCAGGGAGCAUCCUUUAUGUGGCAGCAAAUACAUGUCUGUUAAGCCACCCAGUAGCUCUCGAUUGAUCUUUAGGAGAUGAAGGAAGGAAGGAGAUUGCCAAUGGGCUAUGCCACGCCUUUCACCCUCUGUUCUUGUCUUCUCUGUCCUGGGUCUGUGGGGGCUUCUCCCAGCCUCCUGCCUCCGCCGGGCAGGUGCUCAGCCUGGGGUCCCAGAUGCUGGCCCCGUGGUGGUCCCUGAUUGGUUUUCAGGGUGCCCUGGGCCCCCGGAUGGCGGGGUGAUCCCCAGGUCCCUCUCAGGAAGGAGAAGAAGCAGGCUUCUCGCGUGCUGGCUGGGGGCUGGGGCCAGAGGGGAGAGCCCCCCUCUGGUGUUCUUGGCCCGAGCCGCUCUCGCUGGCCCUGGGGAUUGGUGAGGCCCCAAAAGCCCUGACUCAUGGGUGCAAGAAGCCCGGCUGAGAAGGUAGGAAAUGUCCUGUUCCCAGACCUGGCAGCUUGUGGGCAGCCUGGCCCCCUGGGGCCUCUCCACUUUCCUUGUCUCUGGCACUGGACUCCGCCAGCUGUCCCCUGCUCAGCACUGUCACAACAUUCCCUUUUUGUCCUCCCGUGUAGUGGUUACAAAUCAGGAUCUAUAGUCAGAAGGCCUGGGUUCAAAUCCAGACUCUGCCCUUCCCAGGGUGUGUGGUUUGCUCCUGAGCCUUGCUUCCCCCCUCUGCAAAGCGGGGGGAUCAGUUGUAUCUCCGUCUUAGGGUUGCUGGGAUGCUGGGACGGGAGGAUGUGACGGUGGAAGGGUACCAGGAAGUGCUCCUGCUGUGGUCAGCCUCUCUCGAGGUGCGGCAGGAGAGAGAGCCCGCUCCCUCCAUCCCCACCAGGGCUCUGCUGCCUCUUCCCGCAAGGGGAUAUGGGACUACUUUUCUUGCUAAGUGUCACUUGCUGUACACCUUUUCUGUAGGGUCCCGCUGUUCUUCUUGAAUUGUCAUCUUGCAUGAAAUCCCUUUCUCAGGGGCAGUGGCUCAGUGGGGCUGUUUGGCGGCAGUGGGGAAAAUUCGCUAUUCUCUAAUGACAGUCAAUGAAGACGGAGGGUCUUUUAACAGGCUCUCUUUGCUUGUAGAAAGUUCUCCAAGUCCAUGUCUUGGACUCUGGGGUUAUGGAGUGUACAGGUGUGGUGUGGUGGGUGGUGGGCUCCACCUGUGUAGGAGAAGUUGGUAAGACAGAGUGGCCUCAUAUAUAUUCAGUUGAACCCUUUUUGAUUGCCAAUAAUUGGCCUUUUUUUUUUGCUUUUUUUAGGGCCAUACCUGCGGCAUACGGAAGUUCCCAGGCUAGGGGUUGAAUCGGAACUGUAGCCACCAGCCUACACCACAGCCACAGCAACACGGGAUCUGAGCCGCAUCUGUGACCUACUCCACAGCUCACGGCAAUGCCGGAUCCUUAACCCACUGAGCAAGGCCAGGGAUUGAAGCUGCGUCCUCAUGGAUGCUAGUCGGAUUUGUUUCUGCUGAGCCACAAUGGAAACUCCAAUAUUUGGCUUUUUUGACCUAUCAAGAUGGCAACUUCAUAUGGUUGAACCUAAUGCUUAUCAUCACACAAUAAACAGCACUGUAACCACUCCCCCACCCUGACCCCGUCCCUGCCUGUUUGAUAAUUCAGAGUCUUGUUUCUUUGAAACCACUUAAUUCGCUCAUUCUCCAUUUACCGAACGCCUGCAGUGUAUCUGUCCCGGGAGCUGGGGAAAGAGCACCAAACAAACCCCAACCCACUCCUGUCCUUAUGGGGCAGUGUCCCUGCUAUCUCUUGCCAUGUAACCACCCCUACCCUCAGUGACCUAAAGCAACAGCUAUUCCUUUGCACAGUUCUGUGGGCUGGUCUCACUUGGUAUUUCCUAUGUGGUUGCCGUCACACUGCUGUGGGUGGGUGUGCAAGGAGGGGCGCUCCCUAGGCUGGCAGCGGUGCCAGCAGCUGGGAGCUCAGCUGGGUGUGUCGUCUGGAGCACCUGCAUUCUCUCUGUGUGGCUUGGGCUUCUCCUAGUAGGGCGAUUGUCUUCCCAGGGGUUGUGUCCCAGGAGACCUGGAGGAAACUGCAUUCUAGUUUCAGUUGCCUUCUAGGGUUCAAGGGUGCCACCAAGGCCAACCAAGCCAGAGGGGAAUUAGGGAGGAGACGUAGAUCCCUCUUCUUGUUGGGGGAGACGGGGGAGGGUUCACUCCCCAACAGCAUAUGUGGACUCUUCUUGCUGCCGUCCUGGGCAAAUGCGGCUGCCAUGGGAGGGCAGAGAGUAAGAAAUCCGCCUGGAUGGGAGUUCCCGUCGUGGCUCAGUGGAAAUGAACCCAACUAGUAUCCAUAAGGACGUGGGUUUGAUCCCUGGCCUUCUCAGUGGGUUAAGGAUCCAGCAUUGCCGUGAGCUGUGGUGCAGUUUGCAGACGCUGUUCGGAUCUGGCGUUGCUGUGGCUUGGAAGUUCCCCUAGCCUGGGAACUUCCAUAUGCCGAGGGUAAGGCCCUAAAAGCACCCUCCCCCCGAAAAAAAGAAAGCAAGAAAUCCUCCUGGAAAAAGUGUGAGUAGGGGUUCCCACUGAUGCUUAAUGCAGGUUAAGCAUCUGGCAUUGUCUCGGAGGUGGCAGCCUACGCCACAGCCACAGCCACACCAGAUCCUAGCUGGGUCUGCAGCCUACACCACAGCUCAUGGCAACGCCAGAUCCUUAGCCCAUUGAGUGAGGCCAGGGAUGGAACCUGCAACCUCAUGGUUCCUAGUUGGAUUUGUUUCCGCUGGCCAUGACGGGAACUGUGAGGCGUGGGUUUGAUCCCUGGCCCGGGAACUUCCAUGAGCUGCAGGUACAGCCAAAAAAAAAAAAAAAAAAAAA
ensembl:lncRNA